rnacentral:rRNA from 1 species
CCUACGGGUGGCAGCAGUGAGGAAUAUUGGUCAAUGGGCGCGAGCCUGAACCAGCCAAGUAGCGUGAAGGAUGACUGCCCUGCGGGUUGUAAACUUCUUGUAUAAGGGAAUAAAGUGAGGCACGUGUGCCUUUAUGUAUGUACUUUAUGAAUAAGGAUCGGCUAACUCCGUGACAGCAGCCGCGGUAAUACGGAGGCUCCGCGCGUUAUGCGGAUUUAUUGGGUUUAAAGGGAGCGUAGAUGGGUUGUUAAGUCAGAUGUGAAAGUUUGCGGCUCAACCGUAAAAUUGCAGUUGAUACGGGCAGUCUUGAGUACAGUUGAGGUAGGCGGAAUUCGUGGUGUAGCGGUGAAAUGCUUAGAUAUCACGAAGAACUCCGAUUGCGAAGGCAGCUUACUAGACUGCAACUGACGUUGAUGCUCGAAAGUGUGGGUAUCGAACAGGAUUAGAUACCCCGGUAGUC